GGGUUGAGCUGGAUCGCUCUAUUUUUGUUGAUCAUUAUUUAUUAUGUUUCUGUGAUCACUUUUACUCUAAUUUUGUGAAAGUUAUAAUUGCUUGAUCAUCUUUUUUGUUGUUAAGAUUUUAAAGACAUUAUUUUCAUAUUCAGUGAUUGAUUUCCCUUUUGCGUGUCGUGAAAUACGAGGCCCUACCUCGACCUCUCAGCUGCUCUUUGUUUUGUGAAGUUGCUACAAAAAUACUGUGCAAUAAAGACACUCAAACCCCUCAGACUGUCUCAGAAGUAAGCCAUCGGGCUUUAAGUAAAGCUGUUUUCUUUCUGAACAUCUGACAUUUUCUACUUUUUUUCCCAGCAUAACAGUAAUUUGCCGUUCUGCUGUGACACUUUUUCAAACGCAUGGAAAUCAGUGUUUAGAGGAGUGCUUGCUGCCAGGGAAAACAGAAUGGACAGAUUACAUGAUUCCUCAUAGAUUAUCAUAUUAAUCACAACAGUAAACUCUUUAGCUUUGACAGUGUUUGAUGUUGGAUUUAAUAACAUGUCUUAAAUGUUGUUUCCAGGCACAGAUUCAGAAUUUCCUGGCUUGUUAACUUGGGUAAUUGCGUGGAGGCUGUGCAGCAUCACCCAUCAGGGUUCUCCUGAGCUUUUGCUUGAAAUUUGGCUGAUGAAUGUAAAAAUAAUUCCUACCUGCUUCAUGGAGGGAGAUGAUUAGAGGGAUGUCACAGUGAGGAGGCAGCUAGUGAAUGACAGAGCUCUGAUGCUGUUUGAUAGGACACACACACGCACACACUGACACAUACUCUGCUUCAUUAUUAAACGGAUUUAUACAUUUCUAUAAAUGUCCAAAUCUUCAAAGAAAUACCUGGAAGACGGGAUUUUAGCUGCCGCGUGUGAAAGCAGUGAUUUGACGUACUUUGAAAAUGUUCUUACGAAGCAAAUGAAUCAGGUCCUGCUAUUGUUUUGCUCAUCUCUAUCAAUACACACUCAUAAACACACACACACACACACACACACUGUUUGUGACUCUAUUUUUACUGCCUCUCAUCUGGUUUGAGUCCACAGUCCCUGACAGAAUUGGUGCGAGAGGUUGCAGAAAGUUUUUCCACAGGCUUUUACUUCUUUUUUUUUUUUUUUAAGUGUUUGCUCUGGGGUGACACAGAGUUAACAGGGUUAAUCACAAAUAUUCAAGUAAAAAUAUCACUCUAAUGUCAAAAGCUGUGUUCUCUCCAUUCUGGGUGGUUUUAAUAAGUUAGGCCAAAUUUAGGUCAAGCUUCUUGAUGGCAGUAGCUCUCAGCUGGACUCGUUUUCUGUCCUUUCUCUUUUUCUAACCUUCACUGUCGUCAUUUUUACACUCAGCACACAACAGAGACCCUUACGUCAUUCCUGCACCCCUGGACAUACUGGUUGACAAUAGGUGUGAUCAGGCUCAUUGAUUGUGUGUCCCUGUCUUGAAGGGGCAGAAACAAAUCUCCAAACAAAACCACAGUCAAAACAAUAUUUUUUAAAAAAUGCCCAUGAUAUGUGAUUGUCACAUGGAUUGGAGAGCCAUACUUCAAGUUGCUAUAAGAUGACUUGACCCAGAGUCGGCCAACCGUGCAGAGGCAGUGAUAUUGACAUUUUUAACAAACACAAUCACAACAACAACAACAACAACAACCACCCCCACAGACAGACCACAAGAGUACAAGUUCACACUCGACCCCAAGUUCAAAUGUCUGAAAUAUUGACUUUGACAAACCAAAUUGAUAUUUCGCUCUAUAGCCCAAAGGUAUUGUUGAAUAUUUCUGUCUUUAUUUGAGUUAUAUGCAUUACAACCUACUUCAGUGAAGUUAAAUGGAGAUGAGAGUUGCCAACCCCUCAGUAAGGGGAGCCGCUAGUGGUUGUCAUAAAAGUCUAUGGAAGUUGGUUGAAAGGAGAGUGGCAGAGACAGCAGGCUGUUGUUCUAAAAAGUGUUCCAGCAUGUCAAGUGCACCAUUCCACCUAGUUACCUCUGCCAAGGAUGUUAUGUUUUCUGCAGCGUUGGUUUGUUUGUUUGUGCCAUGACCAGGUUUCGUACCCUAGAACUUUUGGUUGUGAGGCGACAGUGCUAACCACUACACCACUGUGCCGCCUAUGUUCACCACAGUGCCGCCCAUUCCUUAUCUUGCAGCAUUGAAAAUUCCAACGACGCCUUUAUUUUUGUGUGUUCUGGAUCACAAUAUCCAGAAUUUUGUCCGGAUCACCACCGAAAUUUAAUGGGAUCCUCCUGGGGCUGAGACGCACCUCUGGUGAAAAUUUCAAGUCAAUCCGUCUGUUUCUUUCUCCGUAAGGUUGCUAACAGACAAAAAAAAAAAAAAACAAACCAACGCUACCGAAAACAUAACCUCCUUGGCGGAGGAAAUAAGCGUGUCGUUGGAAUUUUCAAUGCUGAAAGAUAACUAAUGGGCGGUACAGUGGUGUAGUGGUUAGUACUGUUGCUGCACAACCAGAAGGUCCUGGGUUCAAAACCUGGUUACAGCAGUUCUUGUUUUAGGAACAGUGAACAUACCAGUUUAAACACAAAUAGACGUUAAUAAAAGACACGUAACAGUAAAAGUUUUGUUGUGAAUCUCAAUAUAAGGGGGGACAUGAGAUGCUUGGCGGAGGUCUGCGCUCUCCGAGUGCUUUUCUAGUUACAAUCUCAUGAUUUUUUUUGAAUGAAUAUUUUUUGAAAAAUCUGUCAGAUGUAAUCAUAUUUGAAUGGUAUGAGGAAUGAGAGGACAAACGUAAAUUUAAUAUAUAAAUAAAUGGUUGGCCUAGUCCAAAUCCUCUCUGAGUAAUUGAGAGAAAAGCAAAAAGUGUUGCAACUGUCCCCAGUCUCCCCUACUUAUAAAUAGUAGGGGAGAAUGGGGACUGUGGUUGAGGACAACCACAACCAUCUCCUUUAACAUAAACACUGUCAUAAAUCUGCCUCAAGAUAGGGGAAGGAGACAUUUAGGAGCAGCUUAUGACAGAGUCAAAGUAAACUAACUGUUGCAGUAACAAUGGUGGUAAGAUGUGUGUAAUCGGUUGCAUUGUUAACAUGUUUGUGGGUGUGUUAGGGAGAAUGGGAGAAAAAUAGAGUGAAGUACAGACGUGCAGAUCCAAGUGUGGUGGAGAGUAAGAGAGAGAGAGAGAGCUGCAGGAGACUGUUUGCAUAUCUUGUGUGGGUCUAGGUGCUCCAUGUCUUGCUGGAUAUGUAAAUCAGUUCUCCGGCAGCUCCAAGAAAACAUAUGCACAAUUAGUACAAAUCCAAACAAACAAACAUAUAUUUAAAGUAGGAGCCGACAAAACACACACCCUCACCCACUACCACAAACAUGCACAGAAACUCAAUCACACUCUAAACUAUACAUCUUUAAGAUAGUCUCCGCUGCGUGUGUUUUGCAGUGUGUGUGUGUAACUUGUGUAUAUUAAUUAUCUCUCUGCACAACUUGUUCACUCCAUCUACUGGUGGGUUUGUGGAUAACAAAUAUUUCUAAAGCAGCACCUGAGUAACUGUGUAGUCUAGUUAUCAAUCACAGUAAGGAAGUUGUGAACCUUACAUCUCACUCUUUAAAGCAUAAAAGUGUGCUGUGCCAACGCUGAAAAAGACGCACAGUCAUCUGUCAGGGUGGUAUCACAUUGACAAAUAGCUGUGAGCAAUCAUACUGUGAGUGUUGUAUCCUGCUUUAGAGGCAUGGGGGUAUUUUCUUCUGGCAGAAUGCCUCUAAAUUAUGUAUUCAGUAUUUGUGUCUUAAAUUAGUAUUAUUGUGGGUGUGAAUCCAACUUUUUAAUCACCCAAGAUAUAACACACUGAAAAGGAUUGUUUCAGUUUUUGAGGAAUAUAACACUUCAACUCUUAUUUUAUUUUUGGAAAUAGUCAGCUGGGUGUUUAUGCUGACAUACUGACUUUUCCACUUUCUCACUGUCUUUGUCCACGCUAAUGAGAGAGACAAAUCAUAAAGAAUAAUACAUCUAGAUGAAUUAUUUUGGUUAAUGCAGAAAGUUUGUGUUUAUAUUUUUUGUUGUUUGGACAUUUAAUUAAAACAGAAUAGAGUAAUACACACUUUUCCACUGGAAAAACAACUGCUUCAGCAGAACCAUCACUCCUCUAAGAAGCAGAGGGAGUUAGGGCAGAAAAGUCUGAACAUAUGAGAGAUAGAGAAACUGAAAGUUGUUUAUCUAAAAUAAUAAUGCAGUUCAGCUCAGUUAAAGUUAGUUUAUUUUUGUUUUAGAUAGUUACAAAGUUAGGAGGUGAAGGAGGCCUCUGCGCUCUGUUGAGAGAGAUAUAAACAUUGACAAGGACAAAGUGGUUGGCAGGUUUGCCACCAUGAAGGAGAGGAGGGUGACGUAUUAAAAUGGACAAAGUUCAAGUUUGUUAAAGAGUUUAGAUGGAGUUUAAUAGAGGAUCAUGGACAGAGAGAGAGAGAGAGAGAGAGAGAAAGAGAGAGAGAGAGGCUACAGUAAAGGACAGCUGACUGAACAGAAACAGAAACAAAUUUACACUUUAUUUUUCAUGAGCUUAGAUAUCUGUCUUGGGGCUAAAAGUGUACAUUACCUCCUCAUCUGUUACCCGGGAAUCCCACUGGAUCCAGAACGGCUCCGCUCCGCUCCAGACCUGCAGGCAGAUCAAAUACGCAAGCAUACAGCGCCCACUGGAUCCGAUCCGCCUCCGCCACCAGAGGAGAAGCGCUUCCGAGAUUACCGAUAUUUCUCCCGAGACUGGACAAGAUCUUGUGUGUUUCCCUGUGAGACAUUGAAUGAGAUCCGCCGAUCGGUGUAUAUAAACACUGGUGUAUAUAAACACCCAAAUCCCACAACCCUGGCCUCUCCUAUUAUCAAGUGAAGAACAGUUCAACAUAUUGACUUUAUUUUAUUUUGAAAGUUAACCGGAUAUUUUACUCUGUAGCCGCAAACAACUUCUGCUGCUGCUCGUACUGAGCUGCACUAAAUUGAUGCGUUGUGCUGUAGUGUCUGGCAAAAAUAGAAGCUCAACCUUCGUCAGGGCGGGGCUGCGCCCUAAUAUAAUCGUAUAGGGAAACAUUGGACUUGGUCCUGUCCCCUCUGUUCUCAGAGUUUAGCUCCAGCCUUGAUUUCAACACAAUCUCCACUAUUGUGUCUAUUAAAUGACGGUACUAUAAUUUCAAAAGUCUCAGUCUUAUAUAGCACAGAACAGCUGCAACAAGGUAGUUUACAGUUUAAACUUUAAAAAAAGGGUCAAGUAACAAACUACAUAUAUCUAACUUCACAGACCUCCAGUGCGUCAUGAGUACUGAGAGGUUUUGAUGAUUAUUUCAGUUGGGUUUUUUUCUUCUGGAGUGGCAGCACUGGAGUCCCACAGUGGACCAAAGAUUCACACAUUUUUUUUUCUUUUUUUCUCACAUCAAUAAGUCAUUUUAGCAGAGUAAGGAAACAAAAGGUGUUGAUGUUUCAUCCUCCUACUCACUCCUCUUUGUGGACCAUCGAGGUUAGUUUAAAAGCUUGGGGGGAAAAAAAUCAUCAAAUGGUUCAGUUUGAUGUGAUCUCUGAAUAAUAUCUCCUCACUUCAGAAGGGUCUGAGCGUGGAGAUUUGAGAAAAGAUGAGGUGUUACAUGUUUGAUGUGGACACUGUGAAAAUAAAAGUGGCUAAAUAAUCCCUCUAAAGUUUUGAUUGAUUAUAAAACAGGCUAAUCUUAAAACACAGGCCUCUAUGUGUUCCACAAAAACACAGCUGACAUGAUCCCAUCACUCUCAUCUCACCAGUUUAAAAUAGAUCCAACACCUUAAAACAUUUUUUUAUUAUUUGCAGUGUAUUCACACUGUCUCCAUCAUAGUUGUUAGAUAUCUAUAAUUGCCUCCAAAGCA